AUUGAACGCUAGCGGGAUGCUUUACACAUGCAAGUCGAGCGAGCGGCGGACGGGUGAGUAAUGUAUGGGGACUGCCCGAUAGAGGUGGCUAACUACUGGAAACGGUAGCUCCUACCGCAUACUAUCGGAUAACCCAUAUGGGAUUAGCUAGUAGGUGAGGUAAUGGCUCACCUAGGCGACGAUCCCUAGCUGGUCUGAGAGGAUGAUCAGCCACACUGGAACUGAGACACGGCCCAGACUCCUACGGAGGCAGCAGUGGGGAAUAUUGCACAAGGGGCGCAAGCCUGAUGCAGCCAUGCCGCGUGUAUGAAGAAGGCCCUAGGGUUGUAAAGUACUUUCAGUCGGGAGGCGUUACCGACAGAAGAAGCACCGGCUAACUCCGUGCCAGCCGCCGCGGUAAUAC
rnacentral:rRNA from 1 species